CCUACGGGUGGCAGCAGUGGGGGAUAUUGCUCAAUGGGGGAAACUCUGAUGCAGCGACGCCGCGUGGGUGAAGAAGCGCCUCGGCGCGUAAAGCCCUGUCAGCAGGGAAGAAAAUGACGGUACCUGAAGAAGAAGCCCCGGCUAACUCCGUGCCAGCAGCCGCGGUAAUACGCAGGGGGCAAGCGUUAUCCGGAUUUACUGGGUGUAAAGGGGGCGCAGACGGCGAUGCAAGCCAGGAGUGAAAGUCUGGGGCCCAACCCCGGGACUGCUCUUGGAACUGCGUGGCGUGAGUGCAGGAGAGGCAGGCGGAAUUCCUGGUGUAGCGGUGAAAUGCGUAGAUAUCAGGAAGAACACCGAUGGCGAAGGCGGCCUACUGGACUGCAACUGACGUUGAGGCCCGAAAGCGUGGGGAGCAAACAGGAUUAGAUACCCUAGUAGUC
rnacentral:rRNA from 1 species